UCUGGUGGCAAUGGCGGAGGGGUCACACCCGUUCCCAUCCCGAACACGGAAGUUAAGCCCUCCUGCGCCG
rnacentral:rRNA from 1 species